rnacentral:tRNA from 1 species
GCUCCGGUAGUUCAGUGGAUAGAGCACUCGUUUCCUAAACAAGUUGUCGGAGGUUCAAAUCCUUCCCGGAGCACCA